UACGAAGGGGGGCUAGCGUUGUUCGGAAUUACUGGGCGUAAAGCGCGCGCAGGCGGUCCUUCAAGUCAGAGGUGAAAGCCCAGGGCUCAACCCUGGAACUGCCUUUGAAACUGGAGGACUUGAGUACGGGAGAGGUGAGUGGAAUUCCGAGUGUAGAGGUGAAAUUCGUAGAUAUUCGCAAGAACACCAGUGGCGAAGGCGGCUCACUGGCCCGAUACUGACGCUGAGGCACGAAAGCGUGGGGAGCAAACAGGG
rnacentral:rRNA from 1 species